UCCUACGGGGGGCAGCAGUGAGGAAUAUUGGUCAAUGGGCGAGAGCCUGAACCAGCCAAGUCGCGUGAGGGAGUACUGCCCUAUGGGUUGUAAACCUCUUUUGUCGGGGAGCAAAAGCCGGACGUGUCCGGCUGUGAGAGUACCCGAAGAAAAAGCAUCGGCUAACUCCGUGCCAGCAGCCGCGGUAAUACGGAGGAUUCAAGCGUUAUCCGGAUUUAUUGGGUUUAAAGGGUGCGUAGGCGGUCGGAUAAGUUAGAGGUGAAAUCCCGAGGCUCAACUUCGGAAUUGCCUCUGAUACUGUUCGG
rnacentral:rRNA from 1 species